AUCUUCAUCUUGGUCUAAC
rnacentral:snRNA from 1 species